CGAGGUGUAGCGCAGCUGGUAGCGCGCCUGCUUUGGGAGCAGGAUGCCGCAGGUUCAAGUCCUGUCACCUCGACCA
rnacentral:tRNA from 2 species